UUUUUUUAUUGUUUUACCCCUAAUUAAUACACUGUUAUCUAUAUAUACAUUUUUGCAGCCAUUUUAGCAAAUAAAUCCUCAAGUUUAAACUUAUUUACAAAAGAUGCCAUUGCUAUCAAUUAUUAUCAAUUAAUUAAUAUUCCUAAUUUGUAGCAUUUCCUUAUCUAUUAUAUUUCCAUCAAUUUCAAUUACUU
rnacentral:sRNA from 1 species